rnacentral:rRNA from 1 species
UACGUAGGGCGCAAGCGUUGUCCGGAAUUAUUGGGCGUAAAGAGCUCGUAGGCGGCCACUCAAGUCGAAUGUGAAACCUCGAGGCUUAACCUCGAGCCUGCAUUCGAUACUGGGCGGCUAGAGUCUGGUAGGGGGAUCUGGAAUUCCUGGUGUAGCGGUGGAAUGCGCAGAUAUCAGGAGGAACACCGGUGGCGAAGGCGGGAUCCUGGGCCAGUACUGACGCUGAGGAGCGAAAGCGUGGGGAGCAAACAGG